GUUUCGCUCUCCGGGGCAGUGGCUGCUGUCAGAAUCCCUUCUUUGAGGAGGCACCUGCUCUUCCGCUUUUCUCCAGCUUUCCAUGAGCUGUGGGGAGUAGCUUGGGUGUCCUCUCACUCUUACUAGAUAGAAAUCAAGAAAGCGCCUUGAGGCGAGAGAAGAGUCCCGUCAGGAGGCCCAGUGGGGUCCUCCACACUCCACGGUCCCCGCCUCCGGGAAGGCCGCGCGUGGCAUGGGCAGAGCGCGGAAUCCUGGCUCCACUGCCCACCUGCCCGUUGACUUUAGGCGACGCCAACCCCAGGCUGGUGAGGAGUCCCUGAAAUAUAAGGCACGGGAGCCACCCGGAGCCACCCGACCUGCCACGUUAAGCAGCAUGAGGGACCGAAAGAUGAGUCUGGGCCAGUCUCUUAGGAGCUUCUGGUCUCGCAGAGAGGCGGGAGGUAAGAUCCUGUACAAAUAAGCGUGGCUGGUCGUGCGCGUGGCUGGCGUCUGGAAUCCCAGCGCUCUGGGAGGCCGAGGCGGAGGGAUUCCAGGAGUUGGAGACCAGUCCGUGCAUAUACGAGACUCCGUCUCUCCAAAAAUUAUAAACAUUAGCCGGCGUGGUGGUGCGCGCCUGUAGUCCCGGCUACUUGGGAGGCGGAGGAUGGAGGAUCUUGAGGAAUUCGAGGCUCGGUGAGUUCUGAUCCGCGCCACUGCACUCCAGCGUAGGCAGUAGAGUGAGACCUUGUCGCUAAACAAACAGGUUAGGAGUGGAGGCUGGAUAACUGACAAAUGGAAUACCUUAGAACAGGGGAGUCCAAUCUUUUGGCUUCCGUGGGCCACACUGGAAGAAGAAUUGCCUGGGCCCAUAUAUAAAACUAAUACUAAUGAUAGCCGACGAGCUUUAAAAAAAAAAUCUAAAAAAAAUCUCGUAAUGCUUUAAGGAAGUUUACGAAUUCGUGUUGGGCUGUAUUCAAAGCCUGGCCUCCAGGGCCGCACGCGGCCCUUGGGUAGGACAGGUUUGCUUUGUAAUGUCUUCCUCCCACUCCACCCGCCUCCCCAGAGGUACCCUUACCAGUGUCUCCUGGAACCUUCCAGAGAUGUUCUAGGCAUGUUUAGGAGAUACUUCUCCUUUCUCUUGUUGGAUGGGUUUAAUUAAUUUUUUUCCUUUUUUUUUUUUUUUUUUUUGUAAUGGAGUCUCGCUCUGUCGCACAGGCUGGAGUGCAGUGGCACGAUCUGGGCUCACUGUAUCCUUCGCUUCCCGGGUUCAAGCAGUUCUCUGCCUCAGCCUCCCGAGUAACUAGGAUUACAGGCACGCGCCACAACGCCCGGCUAAUUUUUGUAUUUUUAGUAAAGAUGGGGUUUCACCAUCCUGGCCAGGCUGGUCUUGAACUCCUGGACUUCAUGAUCCACCUGCCUCGGCCUCCCAAAGUGCUAGGAUUAUAGGCGUGAACCACCACGGCCAAUUUUUUUUUAAAGAGGGAGUCUUGCCCUGACGCCCAGGCUGGAGUGCAGUGAUCUUGUCUCACUGCAGUCUCUCCCUUUCGGGUUCAAGCAGUUCUCCUGUCUCAGCCUCCCGAGUAGCUGAAACUACAGGCGGACGCCACCAUGCCCGGCUACUUUUUUUUUUUUUUUUGAGACAGAGUUUCGCUCUUGUUGCCCAGGCUGGAGUGCAAUGGCGAGAUCUCAGCCCACCGCAACCUCCGCCUCCUGAGCUCAAGCUAUUCUCCUGCCUCAGCCUCCCCAGUAGCUGAGAUUACGGGUAUGCACCACCAUGCCUGGCUAAUUUUUUUUUUUUUUUUUUUUGAGACGGAGUCUUGCUCUGUCGCCCAGGCUGGAGUGCAGUGGCGCGAUCUUGGCUCACUGCAAGCUUCGCCUCCUGGGUUCACGCCAUUCUCCUGCCUCAGCCUCCCGAGUAGCUGGGACUACAGGCGCCCGCCACCACGCCCGGCUAAUUUUUUUUUUUUGUAUUUUUAGUAGAGACAAGGUUUCACCGUGUUAGCCAGGAUGGUCUCGAUCUGACCUCUGCCCUCGUGAUGCGCCCGCCUCGGACUCCCAAAGUGCUGGGAUUACAGGCCUGAGCCACCGCGCCCGGCGUUAAUUUUGUAUUUUUAGUAGAGACGGGGUUUGUCCAUGUUGGCCAGGCUGGUCUGGAACUCCUGACCUCAGGUGAUCCACCUUGGCCUCCCAAAAUGCUGGGAUUACAUGUGUGAGCCACUGUGCCCAGCCUUUUUUUUUUUUUUUUUUUUUUUUUUUUUUAAGAAACGGAGUCUGGCUCUGUCACUCAGGUUGGAGUGUAGUGUCAUGACUAUAGCUUACUGCAGUUUGGAACUGCUGGGUUCAACAGAUCCUCCGGCUUCAGCUUCCCGAGUAGGUAGGACUAAAGGUUCAGGUCACCACGUCCUGCUAACUUUUACAAUUUUUUUGUAGAGAUGAGGACAGGGAGGGGUCUCACCAUGUUGCCCAGGUUGGUCUCGAACUCCUGGCCUCAAGGGAUCCUCCCACCUCAGCCUCCCAAAGUGCUGGGGUAAUAUGCAUAAACCACUGGACCUGGUCAAACUUUUACUUUUUAGAAAAAGACAUAUAGUAGCCUAGUAUACCCAUUGUUCCGCACCUUGCUUUUUCUUCUUAAUAUACCUUGGAGAUUGUUCCAAGUCAGUACACAAAGCUCUGCCUCAUCUUUUUAAACGGCUCUGUGGUGUUCCACCAUGCAACAACACUACAGUUUAUUUAGGAACUUUUUUAGGCGCCUUCAGGUUGGUUUCAGACUUUUUGCAACUAGUUAUAUAAAGUUUUGAGAGAUGGAGGAAUGAGAGUAAUAGGCUUUCCUUCAAUUGCUUUCAAAAGGUGUUCCUUCCAUGAAAGGAUGUUCUGCUAAUCUCUAGUAAUAGCCUUGUGUUUAAUCAAGUUGUAGAAGAAAUGUUCUGAAAUCAUUGGCACCUGCUUCCCUUUGUGUAUUCUAGAAUCUAUUAGUAAGAGUGGUUUCCUUUUAGCACAGCUUAAUGAAUUGUUACACUGGGCUUUGUUGAUCCAUGUUUUGUAGUAUUCUUGAGAAUAUGGAGGCUAUCAGAUGUUCUUUCACCUGAACUUAAGUUUGAGAACCAUACUUGUAGGCCAAGGACACAGCAUGAAUGCUGGUGAAAGUGUAUGGAAGUGUUUGGAAGCAGUACAUAGCUAGAGCAGGAAUGUGCAGAGGGGAGGAAUGGGAGAUGCAGUUUGGAAAGUAGGUAAAGGAAUGAAUUCAUUAUCAAGCUGAGGGUUUAUACUCACUUUGGAGAAAUUGUAAAGAUAAAAGGUUUUUGAACUGGCAGUAGAGAAGAAAAGGUAGUGAUGAUUUAUGCGUUAGGUAAGUUAAUAAUCUGGUUGUGAUAUUGUGGUUUUAAAGAUGUGUCCUAUCUAUGGAUUCUUUGAUACCUCUCCCCUCAACUAAUGAGGCUUCGUUUCCCUCCCCUUGAGUAUACACUGAACUUAGUGGCUUGCUUCUAUGAAACAAUAUGGCAGAAGUGAUGCUAUAUCACUUCUGAGAUUAGGUUAUAAAACGACUGUAGUUUCAUGGCCCGGGGA
rnacentral:lncRNA from 10 species